CGGCGGCAGCGGCAGCGGCGGGGUGAGGCUGCGCGCGGGGGCUCUGAUAUUCUGAUGACCCCCGACAUAAACAGAAGCUCCCAUUGGUCCGCGCUUCGUGACGUCAUGAGGCCGGCAUGCCGGUUUCACGUGAUCGCCAAGAUGCCAUCGUGGAAGGAGACUCUGACCCCUGCGCCUUAAGACUGGUACAACAUUGGCACCGCCCACUUGCGUGUGGUUGCAGAGGUCCUCAUUCUUGUGGGGAUCCGGGGUUGAGUUGCCUGUCAUGCUUGAAGUUUCACAGCACUGCCAUCUGCCUGCUCCUGUUGACAAGAGCACGCCUUCAAGCGAUUCCUUCAAGACCAGCACAGAGAGGUUUCUUGAGCUUCCAGGUGCUUUUCCAGGAGAAUGUUAAGGCAGGGUGAGUGGGGCUAAGAUCACGUUUCAUCUCCCCCAACCUCCCUAUUCCUUCCCAGGGGACUUCUGGGAGUUGUAGUUUUUAAUUGAAUCUAGAAAGAGAAACUGAUGGGGAAGGGGUGGCCUCAACAGGAUACUUAUCUCAAAACGAACAAAUAAAUUUACUGUAGAGAGCA